AAGUUGCACUGGUACAAACCGGUUCAGUUGAUUUUGUUUACAACCGAACAAGUUUGAACCUGCUCAACUUAGAUUAGAUAAACAGUUAAACAAAUGUGACGAAGUAGUUAGAGAAUAUGCUAAAGUCUUGUCCUAGAGAAAAUCCACUCAAAUAGAUGACAAAUCGAUGUGAAUUGUUUUCACACGAUUUGCACACAAUAUAACCGAAUAUGAACUAACCAACCAAUUAAAGUGCUUAUCAAGAACACACAAGAACACACGAUUUAACCCGAGGUUCGGCAAUCACCACAAAGGUAUCCUACUCCUCGUUGAGGAGCCCACAAAGGGCCGGGUCUUUUCCAACCCUAAUCCUCCACAAGCCGACCACCAAGGUCAAGGCAGUCUCUUCUCAAAUUUGCUCAAAGAGUGGGUGAUACAAACUUCUUGGGGUCGUUCACAAAUUUGGAGACUCCCAAGCAACCUCUAACCAUCAAGGAACACAAGGUUCUAAGAGUAACAAAUACGCACAAGGUUAAGUUUGCAAUGAGCUCGAGAAUGAAGAGAAUAGGAGAAUCAAGAUGAAAUCAACAGUGUGUUAGAUCGACUUCACCUCACACCAAGGAUCCUUCAAACGAUUGAAGGGGAUGCGAUUUUGGGUGUGAAAGGUGAAAUGAAUGCAAUUUUUGUUCUAUAUGUACAGUAAUAAUGCAUACAGUGGGAUCUUGCAGCUCGAAAUGUUUAGUUUCCCUUUGUGAUAUAAACUACAAAUGCAUAUACUUGAUCUGAAUUUACAUCUAUAAUUUGCAAGAACAAAACAUUACUGCCACGCUUGAUGGAACCGACCAAAGAAAAAUACUAUUUGAUGAUUGAUUGCCACGCUUGAUGUGGAUAGGAUCAUGGAUUGACUUAAAGACAGGAGAGUACGUGUGUCAGUCAGUCGAUCAUCCAGCGAGUGAAACCAAGAAAUUCAUGGCGGGUUGAAGGAUACACUGGAGGGAGGUACGCACGUUCCUGGCGAGGUGCUCCUAGCGGCGGUGGUCACUAGCCUGUUGAUUCAUGGGGACAAGGUCAUAGUCGGCGUCGGCUUGCUCGAGUGCCAGCAGCAUGUAUGGUGACAUUGCUUACCUGUACCGGUGGAGAUAAGGCCGGGCAGGCCGAGAGCUGAUUCAGCCAGUGGUUGAUUGGUAACUCCAUUUCACCAUUCGAUUGAAAUCCCCAAGUGGAAGGGAUGGUGAGAAACCCAUGAGUCAUUUCUAAAAAAGAGAAGACCCUGAUGAGACUGCUCACCUGCAGAUUCAGAUCGAUGGAUGGGCAAUGGGGACGCCCGCUAGCAAGAUUGGAUCUCCUCCUUGGGAGCCUGUUAAUUGGCACGAUCGAUUGCGGUGGAGAUGGAACAGGAAGCUCUGUCUCCUGCUAGACCUAGUCACGUUCUCUCCUUGCGGGGCGACUCAUCUGGGCGAGCACCAGGAUGGAGCUGCAUAUUGGCGACGGCUAGGGUUUGGAUUGGCGUGAGGAGACGAGGGCGAUUGGUGAUAUGAUCCCGUGGGGGUGAAUGGGGCUAGCCGGGUAGCGCUUGGGCUGUUCUAGGUGGGCCUAUGGAGGUUUGGGCCUCGGCCACUAAAGGACAUAUCUGGUCG
rnacentral:lncRNA from 1 species